UACGGAGGGUGCAAACGUUGCUCGGAAUCAUUGGGCGUAAAGCGCACGUAGGCGGUCCAGCAAGUCGGGUGUAAAGCCCUCGGCUUAACCGAGGAAGUGCAUUCGAAACUACUGGACUUGAAUACUGGAGAGGAUCGCGGAAUUCCCGGUGUAGAGGUGAAAUUCGUAGAUAUCGGGAGGAACACCAGUGGCGAAGGCGGCGAUCUGGACAGAUAUUGACGCUGAGGUGCGAAAGCGUGGGGAGCAAACAGG
rnacentral:rRNA from 1 species